AGAGUUUGAUCAUGGCUCAGAUUGAACGCUGGCGGCAUGCCUUACACAUGCAAGUCGAACGGCAGCGCGGGGCAACCUGGCGGCGAGUGGCGAACGGGUGAGUAAUAUAUCGGAACGUGCCCUGGAGUGGGGGAUAACGCAGCGAAAGUUGCGCUAAUACCGCAUACGAUCUAAGGAUGAAAGCAGGGGACCGCAAGGCCUUGUGCUCCUGGAGCGGCCGAUAUCUGAUUAGCUAGUUGGUGGGGUAAAGGCCUACCAAGGCAUCGAUCAGUAGCUGGUCUGAGAGGACGACCAGCCACACUGGAACUGAGACACGGUCCAGACUCCUACGGGAGGCAGCAGUGGGGAAUUUUGGACAAUGGGCGAAAGCCUGAUCCAGCAAUGCCGCGUGAGUGAAGAAGGCCUUCGGGUUGUAAAGCUCUUUUGUCAGGGAAGAAACGGUGCGGGCUAAUAUCCCGCACUAAUGACGGUACCUGAAGAAUAAGCACCGGCUAACUACGUGCCAGCAGCCGCGGUAAUACGUAGGGUGCAAGCGUUAAUCGGAAUUACUGGGCGUAAAGCGUGCGCAGGCGGUUUUGUAAGUCUGUCGUGAAAUCCCCGGGCUCAACCUGGGAAUUGCGAUGGAGACUGCAAGGCUAGAAUCUGGCAGAGGGGGGUAGAAUUCCACGUAGCAGUGAAAUGCGUAGAGAUGUGGAGGAACACCGAUGGCGAAGGCAGCCCCCUGGGUCAAGAUUGACGCUCAUGCACGAAAGCGUGGGGAGCAAACAGGAUUAGAUACCCUAGUAGUCC
rnacentral:rRNA from 1 species